UCUGCGCGGCUUGCUUCAGGUGCCUUGUAUUUACAGGGUGAAACAGGGAAGUCGGUGCGUUUCGCGUGUUCACGCCAAACUAUUCCGACGCUGCCCCCGCAACGGUAAACGAGUCAAAUCAAACGCUUUUUCAACCACUGUGCAUCUGCAUGGGAAGGUGCGUUUGUAGCUGUGCUGGUAACAGCGCGCUGCUCGUAAGCCCGGAGACCGGCCUGUCGCAAUUUCACGGC
rnacentral:ncRNA from 2 species